GUGGCCAGGCUUUUUGUCACAUUAAAGGUACUCAGUAAAACAUUUGCUCAAUGAAUAAAUGUAUGGCACCUGCCACUGAAAAUUAAGAAUGUCUCCAAAAUCAGACAACAUGACAUGCGUAUCUCUUUUGGGUUGCCAGUGUUGUAAUUCUACUCACACCAGUGGUAGUUCUUCUGAGGCACUAACAAGUAGUAUUUUUCUGGUGGUUAUGAUCUCACUUUCCAGCUUCUCUCAUGUAUCAGAGAUAUUUUAUAGCAGUUGAAAAUUUGAACUCUCAAAUUAGAUAAGUUGUAACUUAGAGUCCUCCACUAGGUAGCUGUGUAAACUCGGGAGUCAUAUAACUUCUCUGGGCCUCAGUUUUCCUCCAUGAAAUGGGAAGAUUGACAGCAUCCACUUCACCGAGAGGUUGUGAGGAUUAAAUGAGCUCAUUUUCAUAGAAAUGCAUUAUGGUGCUGAGCACAUAGUAAUUGUUCAAUAAAUGUUUUCUGUUAUUUGACAUAAUUGAGAAACUCUGAAAAUACUUUUUCCUCCAAAAGGGAGUAUAUAAGGAAAGAUGAUGAUUCUAUGUAAACGUCUCAAAAAAGAGCCGAGAAGUACAAAUGAGAAAAUACAAUUGAGAAAACAGAAUUUUAAAAGAUUUCAUAACCUUUUAAAUUCCUCCUUGGUUGUUUUUAUUAUCCCAGGCCUAUUUCUUUCUAAUAAUUGGCAGAAAAAUCACAGACCAAAGGCCUCCUCUGGCAGGGGAGCCUGGAAGAGCAGCUGGGGAGAUUGGCGUCCUACCCCACUGCCAGUCUUCCCAGGGACUGAGAGAGGGAACAGGAAAUUGGCAACGUGUUGGACCUUCCGGAGCUUCUCAGAAGACAGAGGGUUUUCUUUUGAGGCUGUUGUACAGUGGCCUGAUUAUAGCUCACUGUAGCCUCGAAAUUCUGGGCUGAAAUGAUCCUCCUGCCUCAGCCUCCAAAGUAGCUGAGACUACAGACAAAUCAACUCAAUCAAAGAAACCAACUCAAUCAAAGAAAGAUGGGUCUACAUACAACAAAACUGAACAAAAUCUGCAAGAAGAGUGAUUCAUACAUGGGCUAUUGAGGCAACAUGAAAUGGACAUUAAUUGACUAAGUAAAAAACAGAUUUCUUGAAGAAUUAAUAAAGAACUUUUGUUUUGGAAGUU
rnacentral:lncRNA from 1 species